rnacentral:misc_RNA from 1 species
UCCGGUUUGUCACCGGCAGUCUCGCAUGAGUCCCCAACUGAAUGCUGGCAACAUGCGACGGGGGUUGCGCUCGUUGCGGGACUUAACCCAACAUCUCACGACACGAGCUGACGACAGCCAUGCACCACCUGUGAGGAUGCCCCGAAGUGAAGGACUCCGUCUCUGGAGUCCACAGAGGACAUGUCAAGGCCAGGUAAGGUUCUUUGCGUUGCAUCGAAUUAAACCACAUACUCCACCGCUUGUGCGGGCCCCCGUCAAUUCCUUUGAGUUUCAGUCUUGCGACCGUACUCCCCAGGCGGCGAACUUAACGCGUUAGCUUCGAUACUGCGUGCCAAAUUGCACCCAACAUCCAGUUCGCAUCGUUUAGGGCGUGGACUAC